AACAAUCUGCUGUGCUAGAUACACCCUUAGGACAGGAUUGGUUUGGAAUGGGAAGGACUGGUGGAGCUUGUCAUUAAACAAAAAUUGUGUUUAAUAAAACUUUAUAACCGUGAUUAAUCCUAUGAGGCCCUAAAGGAGUUUGCAGUUUCUGAUAAACACAUUUUCCUUGUUUGCAAUGGUAAUGAUAUUUUGAAGUGAAUGGAAUCUGAACAAAAAACUCUAAGGGUAAAAAAGGACUUGUCAGGUACCACCUAUGAAGAAAUUACAAUGACACAAAAGAAAAAGGAGCCACCCACAAGGGAAACCUUAGAUUAUAUGUUUGAAGGAAGAAAGAAAAGAUAGGUCAUUGAAGGUCUGCCUUUAGAGUAGUCUGAUCACCACAGAAGUGCCUAUAAAAACACAGAAAUUAUCUGAGGGCAUCUAGCAUGCGAGGAAUAGCACCACAUGUUAGGUGCAGGUGCUCAUUUGCAAAUGCGUACAGGACUGGAGCUACAGCCAUGAGCUGAAGUAAUUUGUUUGCAGGGAGCAGGGAAUAUUUUCCACUGUGAAUGCUUUGCUGACCAGCACAAAGUCCCAGGACUGAAUCACUAAAAAAAGACAUUUUGCAAGGAGAGCAGAUGUACCUCCUGGAGAUCAUGCAGAAGGAGCAAGAAAUAAUGGGAAAGAAGACAAAGAAGAAAGACUGCCAUCUGCAAGCUGUUGAAAAACUAACAUGUUGGUCCUCAGAAUGAAGAAGGAAAGCUGACUACGAAGCCCUUAUGAGUAU
ensembl:lncRNA